AUACAUGCAAGUCGAGCGGACAGAAGGGAGCUUGCUCCCGGAUGUUAGCGGCGGACGGGUGAGUAACACGUGGGUAACCUGCCUGUAAGACUGGGAUAACUCCGGGAAACCGGAGCUAAUACCGGAUAGUUCCUUGAACCGCAUGGUUCAAGGAUGAAAGACGGUUUCGGCUGUCACUUACAGAUGGACCCGCGGCGCAUUAGCUAGUUGGUGAGGUAACGGCUCACCAAGGCGACGAUGCGUAGCCGACCUGAGAGGGUGAUCGGCCACACUGGGACUGAGACACGGCCCAGACUCCUACGGGAGGCAGCAGUAGGGAAUCUUCCGCAAUGGACGAAAGUCUGACGGAGCAACGCCGCGUGAGUGAUGAAGGUUUUCGGAUCGUAAAGCUCUGUUGUUAGGGAAGAACAAGUGCAAGAGUAACUGCUUGCACCUUGACGGUACCUAACCAGAAAGCCACGGCUAACUACGUGCCAGCAGCCGCGGUAAUACGUAGGUGGCAAGCGUUGUCCGGAAUUAUUGGGCGUAAAGGGCUCGCAGGCGGUUUCUUAAGUCUGAUGUGAAAGCCCCCGGCUCAACCGGGGAGGGUCAUUGGAAACUGGGAAACUUGAGUGCAGAAGAGGAGAGUGGAAUUCCACGUGUAGCGGUGAAAUGCGUAGAGAUGUGGAGGAACACCAGUGGCGAAGGCGACUCUCUGGUCUGUAACUGACGCUGAGGAGCGAAAG
rnacentral:rRNA from 2 species